CUUGGAUCCAGGAAAUGAAGGGAUUCACAGAAAACGGGACGUGCUACUUUACCAGCACAUCACUGGGGGUAGGAGAUGAGGUCAGAGAACUCGCCAGGCCCAGAUCACCCAGCGCCUGAGUGGCUGGAGGUUAAAUAUGACAAUAGCACAAGUGACAAAAGACAAAACAGAUAACUGGACUUCAUCAAAAUUAAAAACUUUUGUGGAACAGAGGAUGUUAUCAAGAAAGUGAAAAGACGAUCUGAGAAAUGGAAGUAAAUAUCUGUAAAUCAUGGGAAGUAAAUAUCUGUAAAUCAUCUAAUAAGGUAAUAUCUGUAUCUGUAAAUCAUCUGAUAAGGGACUUUUGUUUAGAAUAUAUAAAGAACUCUGACAGCUCAACAAUAAAAAGGCAAAUAAUCCAAUUAAAAAUGGACAGAGGGCUGAUGCGGUGGCUCAUGCCUGUAAUCCCAGCACUUUGGGAGGCUGACGUAGGCCGAUCACUUGAGCUCAGGAGUUCAAGACUAGCCUGGCCAACACAGUGAGACCCUGUCUCUGCUAAAAAUACAAAAAUUAGCUGAGUGCAAUGAUGUGUGCCUGUAGUCCU
rnacentral:lncRNA from 1 species